CUGUCAGGAAGGAGAGCUCUGGGGUCAGCAGGGGAGGAUGGGAUGAAUUGAAUGGGCAAGAAGUCCUGAAGCGCUGCCCUGUCUCAGGGCUUUGGACUCGACUUAAACAUAGGGCCUCUGAUACUUUAUGAUGCUACCAAAGCCUUGUGCGGAAGUUGGACCGCACUGCGCCAAGCUUCUCCAGAUGCAAAUCGUAUGUCGGAAUGCAGCAAGCCAUAUAUUGAUAUAAAGCAAGCGGCAGGUCGGGCUCACAAAGACUUUAAAGUGGACGACAUGAGAUCCCUAUGGUAGCAGGAAAUGAAAGUGAUGAAGUGGGAUUAAAGGAACAGCUCUUAAAGCCACUUACUCCCUUUGGCAGACACAGAGAGCGCUUGAGAAGCUUGUGGUUUAAUUAAUCCCCCUCAGCCAAUAAGAGGAUCACAUAGAAACACUUGUAUUUUCUGUACAUUCACUGCCAGCCGGGAGCUA